AUAACUGUCCGAAAGGAUAGCUAAUACCCUAUAUUGCCUUUUGUCACUAAGGCAAAAGGUGAAAGCGAGGCUGUCAAAGGCUUCGGCUCAAAGAGGGGUUCGCGUCCUAUCAGGUAGUUGGUGGGGUAAUGGCCUACCAAGCCAAUGACGGGUAGCUGGUCUUAGAGGAUGAUCAGCCACAGUGCGACUGAGACACGGCCCGCACCCCUACGGGGGGCAGCAGUGGGGAACCGUGGGCAAUGGGCGCAAGCCUGACCCCGCAAUGCCGCGUGAGGGAAGAAGCCCUUCGGGGUGUAAACCUCUGUCAGAUGGGAAGAUGGGACUAGGGGCUAAUACCUCCUGGUCUUGACGGUACCAUCAGAGGAAGGGACGGCUAACUACGUGCCAGCAGCCGCGGUAAUACGUAGGUCCCGAGCGUUGCGCGAUGUUACUGGGCGUAAGCGUCCGUAGCUGGUUUCGUAAGCGGAUUGUCAAAGCCCGAAGCUCAACUUCGGCAAGGCAUUCCGAACUGCGUUACUUGAGUCCUGUUCAGGUAGGCGGAAUUCCCGGUGUAGCGGUGAAAUGCGUAGAUAUCGGGAGGAACACCAGUGGCGAAGGCGGCCUACUGGGGCGGUACUGACGGUCAUGGACGAAAGCUGGGGGAGCAAACCGGAUUAGAUACCCGGGUAGUCCCAGCUGUAAACGAUGGAUGUUAGGUGUAGUGAUAACUUCGCUGCACCCCAGCUAACGCGUUAAACAUCCCGCCUGGGGAGUACGGGCGCAAGCCUGAAACUCAAAGGAAUUGGCGGGGGCCCGCACAACCGGUGGAGCGUCUGGUUUAAUUCGAUGCUAACCGAAAAACCUUACCAGGGUUUGAAAUGGUAGGAAAGGCUGUCGAAAGAUAGCCGUGUUUCCCUUUUGGGAGAAAUCCUACCACAGGUGGUGCGUGGCCGUCGUCAGCUCGUGUUGUGAGAUGUUGGGUUAAGUCCCGCAACGAGCGCAACCCUUGUCCUUAUUUGCUUCCUCGUAUGAGGUGCUCUAUAAGGAGACUGCCGGCGACAAGCCAGAGGAAGGAGGGGACGACGUCAGGUCAGUAUGCCCUUUAUGCCCUGGGCUACACAGGCGCUACAGUGGCAAGGACAAUGAGUAGCGAGAGUGCAAGCUCAAGCUAAUCUCACAAACCUUGUCGUG
rnacentral:rRNA from 1 species